rnacentral:tRNA from 1 species
GCCCCCGUAGCUCAGGUGGAUAGAGCAAGGGAUUCCUAAUCCCUGUGUCGGGUGUUCGAGUCGCCUCGGGGGCACCA